AAGACAUGGGUGGUGUGGUGUGAGGAGGUCACUGGGCAGGAUAAAAGACAUGGGUGGUGGUGGGGUGAGGAGGUCACUGGGCAGGAUAAAAGACAUGAGUGGUGGUGGGGUGAGGAGGUCACUGGGCAGAAUAAAAUACAUGGGUUGGGAUGUGGAGGAGAGGAGGUCACUGGGCAGGAUAAAAGACAUGAGUGGUGGUGGGGUGAGGAGGUCACUGGGCAGAAUAAAAUACAUGGGUUGGGAUGUGGAGGAGAGGAAGAGUUUCGUGAAGGUUGUUUACAUGACUCUGUCCUUGAUCUAUGCCUUGGAACAAAAAUAUUAAUUUUCAAUUAUAUCAACUGUGAGAGUUUCUCUUUUGUGAAUGAUAUUGUAAACCCCACCAAAGUACAGGCUUUCAUCGGCUGCUACACCAUAGCCUUGAGGAAAAAGUCAGAGGAAAAACAACCUGCCUUGAUAUCAUUUUCCAAACAGGUCAGCGAAUCAAUCAUCUUUUAUAAUCUCCUCAAAGAGAGGAUGACAUUAGUGUUCCCUUCAAGACGUCUGUGUUGUUCUGUCACAUCUGGUUCUGUCAAGCCUACUGCUGUGAGUGACCCUGUACUUCAGGACAUUCAUGAUAGUUCUUCAUUUGUGUUUUUGAUUACAGCCUUUAGUUCCCAGAGAGUGACCCAGACAGUCAGACAUUCACUGACGGCCACCCUAUACCGCAGGACAGCAAGAUAUCUUUAUUCUCUUUGAACUCAGAUCUACCUUCCAAAUGAGGGCCUUACAUUGAGAAUAAGGAUGACAUUGAUGGUGUCUAGACAGCAAACUUGCCUGCAGACGUGGCAACAAACCCAUUGCCUAUGAAAUGUCAAAGUACACAGCUGCACAUAAAGCUUCGCCUCUGGAAUCCAAUUGAUGUUUGAAGGAAGAAGAUGCUCCGUCUCAGAGAUAAUUACCUGGUAUUGAGUUCUGGUGCGCAGGUAUUCUUCAGUUGUUGUUAAGUUAUUACGUGGAAGAUGCCACAGAGUCAGGGUCAAGGUGCGUCUCGGUGGUGCGGAUCAGGUGCGUUUUCCAUUAUCGAAGCCUGAGGUCACUAAUUGAGGUCUGAAAGCUUGUAAGACCUGAUGUAGUGACCUAACAAACAAACAGAAAUGUAGCACCGCUUGGAUAAUGUCACAUUGCCCAGAAUUUCAUUUAACAUGUGGCAACAAGUCUUCUAGAAGGGGACAAUUCCUUGUAUUGGUCUCUUCUCUUUCAGUGGAUUUGGAAUACCUUCCCACACAAGGCCAUAACUAUUCACACAAGGCCACAGAGAGGGAGCGAAAGACAGAGAGAAAGAUAGAGAGAAAGAGAAAGAGAGUGAGAGAGAGCGAGAGAGAGAAAAAGAGAGAGGGAGAGAGAGAGAAAGAGAAAGAGAGAAAAACUUUUUUUUUUUCAAAUAAAAAAACUGAACCCCCCUCAAACACCUUAUUUACAUAAUUAUUCAGACCCUUUGCUAUGAGACUCAAAAUUAAGCUCAGGUGCAUCCUGUUUCCAUUGAUCAUCCUUGAGAUGUUUCUAUAACUUGAUUACAGUCCACCUGUGGUAAAUUCAAUUGAUUGGACAUGAUUUGGAAAGGCACACACCUGUCUAUAUAAGGUCCCACAGUUGACAGUGCAUGUCAGAGCAAAAAAACAAGUCAUGAGGUCAAAGGAAUUGUCCGUAGAGCUCCGACACAGGAUUGUGUCGAGGCACAGAUCUGGGGAAAGUUACCAAAACAUUUCUCCAACAUUGAAGGUCCCCAAGAACACAGUGGCCUCCAUCAUUCUUAAAUGGAAGAAGUUUGGACACACCAAGACUCUUCCUAGAGCUGUCCGCCCGGUCAAACUGAGCAAUAGGGGGAGAAGGAGUGACCAAGAACCUGAUAGUCACUCUGACAGAGCUCCAGAGUUCCUCUGUGGAGAUGGGAGAACCUUCCAAAAGGACAACCAUCUCUGCAGCACUCCACCAAUCAGGCAUUUAUGGUAGAGUGGCCAAACAGAAGCCACUCCUCAGUAAUUGGCACAUAACAGCCCGCUUGUAGUUUGCAAAAAGGCACCUAAAAGACUCUUAGACCAUGAGAAACAAGAGUCUGAUGAAACCAAGAUUGAACUCUUUGGCUUGAAUGCCAAGCGUCACGUCUGGAGGAAACCUGGCACCAUUCCUAUGGUGAAGCAUGGUGGUGGUGGCAGCAUCAUCCUGUGGGGACAUUUUUCAGGGGCAGGGACUGGAGACUAGUCAGGAUUUAGGGAGAGAUGAACAGAGCCAAGUACAGAGAGAUCCUUGAUGAAAACCUGCUCCAGAGCGCUCAGAACCUCAGACUGGGAUGAAGGUUCACCUUCCAACAGGACAACAACCCUAAGCACACAGCCAAGACAAUACAGGAGUGGCUUUGGGACAAAUCUCUGAAUGUCCUUGAGUGGCCAAGCCAGAGCCCAGACUUGAACUCAAUCGAAAAUCUCUGGAGAGACCUGAAAAUGUAAUCAAUUUUAAGGCUGUAACAUACCAACAUUUGGCAAAAGUCAAGGGGUCUGAAUACUUUCCGAAUGCACCAUAUAACCUAAUUAUUUAGAAAAUCUAAUUCAGGGUUCCUUUUGCAUAAUCCAGAAAUUGGUUAUUGUACUGUAUGAAACCACUUAGGACUUUGGUGGCAACUGGCUGUCUGGCGGCAACUGGCUGUCUGGCUCCCUCUAGUCGUGCGCCUGUGAAGAACUGGGUGGGCGGUGUCGUCGAAUAUUUAAAAAGUCUAAACAAGUUGUCAAUGAGGAGGAAGGAAAUAUAAAACCUCACCUUCCACGUCGCCAGGGUUGUAUUCACCA
rnacentral:lncRNA from 13 species